ACCCGCACAAGCGGUGGAUGAUGUGGAUUAUCGAUGCAACGCGAAGAACCUUACUACCCUUGACAUGUCCGGAACUUGCCAGAGAUGGCUUGGUGCCCGAAAGGGAAUCGGAACACAGGUGCUGCAUGGCUGUCGUCAGCUCGUGUCGUGAGAUGUUGGGUUAAGUCCCGCAACGAGCGCAACCCUUAUCAUUAGUUGCUACGCAAGGGCACUCUAAUGAGACUGCCGGUGACAAACCGGAGGAAGUGGGGAUGACGUCAAGUCCUCAUGGCCCUUAUGGGUAGGGCUUCACACGUCAUACAAUGGUCGGUACAGAGGGUUGCCAAGCCGCGAGGCGGAGCCAAUCCCACAAAGCCGAUCGUAGCCCGGAUUGUUCUCUGCAACUCGAGAGCAUGAAGUCGGAAUCGCUAGUAAUCGCAGGUCAGCAUACUGCGGUGAAUACGUUCCCGGGUCUU
rnacentral:rRNA from 1 species